rnacentral:rRNA from 1 species
CCUACGGGAGGCAGCAGUGGGGAAUUUUGGACAAUGGGCGCAAGCCUGAUCCAGCAAUGCCGCGUGAGUGAAGAAGGCCUUCGGGUUGUAAAGCUCUUUUGUCAGGGAAGAAACGGUGGGGGCUAAUAUCUCCUACUAAUGACGGUACCUGAAGAAUAAGCACCGGCUAACUACGUGCCAGCAGCCGCGGUAAUACGUAGGUGCAAGCGUUAAUCGGAAUUACUGGGCGUAAAGCGUGCGCAGGCGGUUUUGUAAGUCUGUCGUGAAAGCCCCGGGCUCAACCUGGGAAUUGCGAUGGAGACUGCAAGGCUUGAAUCUGGCAGAGGGGGGUAGAAUUCCACGUGUAGCAGUGAAAUGCGUAGAGAUGUGGAGGAACACCGAUGGCGAAGGCAGCCCCCUGGGUCAAGAUUGACGCUCAUGCACGAAAGCGUGGGGAGCAAACAGGAUUAGAUACCCUGGUAGUCCACGCCCUAAACGAUGUCUACUAGUUGUCGGGUUUUAAUUAACUUGGUUAACGCGAGCUACGUACGUGAGUAGACGACCGUCGGUAGGUACGGUACGCGAGAGUAAACGUAACGAACUAGAGUAGACGACGUGAGAGUGACGACGGACGACGACGAGGAGGAGG